GCUCCACAGACAAAUGCGCUGGACAUUUCCGAUCAUGGGAUCCAGGACCGGAGUGUCGUCUGCAACCACUGCGAAGCCCUCCCCGAUUUCGCUGGACUUCCUUCCUGGAUACGUUUGCCGACCGAGGAAUGUCCGUGUCUUGCCCUGCGCCCACGCAUUUCGCGCCCACGCUUUUCGCGCGCAACUUUCGUGGGGGAUUCUGGCAGAGAUGGAUUUUUCGAUUGGUAUUACCGAGGACCCUCUGACAAAAGUGGUUCGUACCCGGUAUCAGGUGCGCUAGCCACACCAGCUAAUAACUUCUCGCACAGGCAGGGAGCAAACGACCGAAUACUAGAUUUGUACCAGCUUCGCCAUCCAGUGACUCGACGGAUUCCUGCAAAGUUGGACGUAUCCCGAACUUCCGCCAGAAAUCGUAACCUAGGAUGCAUCGCCGGUUCAACUCUGGAGCGACAAGGACGGACAACAACUUGGUGACCCCAUUGAAGGUGACCGGGAUAUCUACGGCCCCAAUGACCUCCAGAUGUUGGCCUCCAGCUGU